rnacentral:rRNA from 1 species
UACAGAGGUCCCAAGCGUUGUUCGGAUUCACUGGGCGUAAAGGGUGCGUAGGCGGUCGGGUAAGUCUGAUGUGAAAUCUCACAGCUUAACUGUGAAACUGCAUUGGAUACUAUCCGGCUCGAGGAAUGGAGGGGAGACUGGAAUACUUGGUGUAGCAGUGAAAUGCGUAGAUAUCAAGUGGAACACCAGUGGCGAAGGCGAGUCUCUGGACAUUUCCUGACGCUGAGGCACGAAAGCUAGGGGAGCAAAUGGG